GAAGGUUGUUGGGGUAGGAAGAGAAUGAAACCAACCAACCUUCAACAAGUUUGAUCUUGCCUUUUUUUCAUUACUAAUCUCUACACACUAAACUCAGAAGAAAUCAUCUGAUUUUGAUGAAUUUUUGGCACUCUCUUGAGAAGCAACUUUGCUUGGUAAACCUUUUUACAUUGAGGGGAUGUUUGGAACCUUGAAGAUUGAUUUUAGGAAUGGACAUAGGAAUCAAAAGUUUAUUGUUGUGGAAUCCAAAUUCCAUUUUUACUUGGAUUUUUAUUUUUUAUUCCUCUUUUCUUCAUGGUAUCAUGCUUCCAUUUUCAUCCCAUGUUCAUUUAUUGGAGGAAAUCUAUCAAAGGUGAAUUUUUUAUUCACAUUAGGGUAUGUUUAAUAGUAGAAGAAAUAGAACAAAAGGAGUUACUGUCAUCAAUAAUUACAUUGGAUUUAUUUUUUAG
rnacentral:lncRNA from 1 species